UCGACCGCAGAGCAGGUGUAGUUCUGGUGUACACCGGAAGCGCAACGUGUUAUUCGUUUGUUUCGCGGGUUUGUUUGUUUUGGAUUAGGGGUGGACCAGUUGAAGUGGUGUGUAUAUGUUGGAGUUUUUCGUGAAAUGAAACCUGCUACAGCCAGGACUACUUAGUGGAAAGUUAGCUCCUACUUGAAAGCCGCAUUAUUUUGAAGAAAAUUGUCUGUGAGCGAAUCUCAUAGUCGACCUAGGAAUUUCAUUGGACCAACAUAUUUUUGCAGAUUCAAGUCGAUUUGUUGGACAACAAGCGGGUGCGGUCCUCCAUUUCAAUUAAUCAACAUCUUCCAUGUUAGCAUGAAAAUACAGGGGGUAUGCCUAAAUAGAAAAGACCUACAUCACCAAUUUCAUCACAUUCAAAAUUUGUUAUAUAUGUUCAUCAUUGUUUAUAUU